GACGAACGCUGGCGGCGUGCUUAACACAUGCAAGUCGAACGGAAAGGCCCUGCUUUUGUGGGGUGCUCGAGUGGCGAACGGGUGAGUAACACGUGAGUAACCUGCCCUUGACUUUGGGAUAACUUCAGGAAACUGGGGCUAAUACCGGAUAGGAGCUCCUGCUGCAUGGUGGGGGUUGGAAAGUUUCGGCGGUUGGGGAUGGACUCGCGGCUUAUCAGCUUGUUGGCGGGGUAGUGGCUUACCAAGGCUUUGACGGGUAGCCGGCCUGAGAGGGUGACCGGCCACAUUGGGACUGAGAUACGGCCCAGACUCCUACGGGAGGCAGCAGUGGGGAAUAUUGCACAAUGGGCGGAAGCCUGAUGCAGCAACGCCGCGUGCGGGAUGACGGCCUUCGGGUUGUAAACCGCUUUCGCCUGUGACGAAGCGUGGGUGACGGUAAUGGGUAAAGAAGCACCGGCUAACUACGUG
rnacentral:rRNA from 1 species